rnacentral:tRNA from 1 species
GGGGCGUUAGCUCAGUUGRUAGAGMAGCGGACUCUUAAUCCGUAGGUCGAGUGUUCGAGUCACUCACGCCCCACCA